rnacentral:rRNA from 1 species
UACGUAGGCAGCGAGCGUUGUUCGGAGUUACUGGGCGUAAAGGGUGUGUAGGCGGUUUCUUAAGUUUGGUGUGAAAUCUCCCGGCUCAACUGGGAGGGUGCGCCGAAUACUGAAUGACUUGGAGUGCGGGAGAGGAAAGUGGAAUUCCUGGUGUAGCGGUGAAAUGCGUAGAUAUCAGGAGGAACACCGGUGGUGUAGACGGCUUUCUGGACCGUAACUGACGCUGAGACACGAAAGCGUGGGUAGCAAACAGG